rnacentral:lncRNA from 1 species
CACUCCAUAGUCAUACACGUGCCCCCGAAUACAUAAUUUCUUAAUGUUUUGAAACCUUGAAAGGAUCUUCUUAGUGCAACAAUAAGGAAUCAAGCCCGAAACAGACUGUAUGUUUGGCCAAAACAAGUUCCUCUCUCCAUCAAUGGAUGAACUUGGAGGAUCUGGCAAAUAAAAAUUCCUGAGUUUCAGGUGCCUUAAUUGUGUUGUUUCCCAAAUUAGUUCCGGGAACUUAAUAAAUGAGAUAACUGGCCCUCGAACGAUGAAUGUUUGUAGAUUCAGUAAUCUGCAAAGUCCUCCAGGUAUGCCAAAAGAAUUACGAGUCGAAAAGGAUAGGUACCUCAACAAAAAGAGACUAAGUAUCUGCAGGGGAAAGCUUGAGAAGAACAUUGAACUCAAGUCCAAGACUCUGAUUAAAUUCAAAUGACCAAGCUCUAAAUUGGAAUUGUUACUGAAAGAAGGUGCAGCAAACAGGAAAAUUGAUCGAAUUCUUCUCAAGGGACUCUUAUCAUCAUCGGUAGGCGUCCUAAUCAACCAGCAAAGUUUAUGUGUAAGGGACCUAAACCAAUGCUCAUCCUGAAACUCAACAUCAGUUUGUUGACUUUUCUGUAUGCUAAUCCAUUGACAUCCCACACGAGGAACGGAUCCUGUUUUAUCAUUUCUGAUAAACAAAAAGUUUUGGCUUUGUGCUUCUCUCAAGCAUAACUCAUGGACCAGAUCAUGAAUCCUACAUGUCUUGAUUUUUCUUCCAUCUGCACUUCUUUUGCUAACUAAAACUAGACAUCUAUCCACGAGAUCCUGCAAACGGUUUUUAGCCUCUUCUUCCAAGUCACCCUCCAGCUUCAAGAACCCCUCAGCAAUCCAUAAUCUCACCAAUCUCUUCACUGAAAUUUCACUGUCUUCUGGAAAUAUUCCAAAAUACAGAAGGCAUGCUUUUAAGUCAUUAGGCAAGUAGUUGUAACUCAAUCCGAGCACACGUAGACAUUGUUCAUCAGGAUCUUUCGUUACAAACGACUUAAUAUUCUCAGCAACAUUCUCCCAUUCUUCUUUUGUUCUCUUUGAUUUGGAGAGAAGACCAGCAACCACGACAAUCGUUAGUGGUAACCCUUGACAUUUGCUUGCAAUUUUCUCACCUAUGGUCUGUAGUUCAGGCGGGAAGCUUUCAUUUGCAAACGCCUUGCUCUUAAAAAGGUUCCAACUCUCAUCUGAAUUCAUGAGAUUCAUCUUUAAAAGAAGAUUACUUGAGCUAGCAUUAAUAGCUACCUCAGUAUGACGGGUAGUCAACAAUAUUCGACUUCCAUUAUUAUCAAUUGGAAAACAUUGUUUUGUGUCAUCCCAUGCUUUAUUGCUCCAUAUGUCAUCUAUGACAAUAAGAUACCUCCUACAUUUCAAUUUUUUCUGUAGUAGGUCUGCUAGCUCAUCCUCAUCUCUGCUGUAGACUUUGUCAUCGAUAUUGAUUAUUGACUGUAGAAGACUUAGCAGGAUUUCUUUCACAUUGUAUUCUUUAGAUAUAGUAGCCCAAGCACGAACAUCAAAACGAGACUUAAUCGAAGGAUGGUUGAAGACUUGUUUUGCUAAAGUUGUCUUACCAAUGCCACCCAUCCCAACAAUUGGGAUGACUUUUAGUUCAUCUUUAGAGCCUCCUCUGAGUUCUUCAAGCAUCCUUUUCUUUUCCUUGUCACGUCCCACCAUAUUGUUCGAAACAUCCAGAUUAGGUAAUAUUUCUGAGCUACUUGUAUCUCGUAACAAGGACAACGUUGAUGCUUGGCUACCUUUAUGUUGUUGAAUCUUUUGCGACUCUUCUUGAACACGGUCAAUGUCCUUUGCUACUCGUUGCAAGCUCUCACGAAGUUUCUCAUGUGCUUUCCUUUUCCUACCUGAAUGAUGGGGAUGUUUCAGAUAGGAAAAUGGAACAACUGAUAGUUCAGGGAGGAAACUCACAUAUCUGAUAGUUCAUAUAUGAAACUCGAAAAAUGGGGAUACUUUAGGUGCGUUUUUGACCAUCAACUCUUUAAUAUAUAACUUCAAAAAAAAUUUAAGUUUCAAAGGCAAUUAUUGUACUAACCUGGAUCGUUGUAGGAACGAACAUCCACAGCUUUGCUUCCUAGGGAUUCUUGCUCCUCUUGAAUUCGUCCAGCAGAAGCCACGAGUUUUGCACUACAGUUCUGUAACUCGAUUAGUUGUAGCGAGUAAAUAUCUGCAAACUCAAUAGGGAUCUCCUCCAAAUGAAAGCAAUGUCUGAUCACUAGAUGCUCAAGAGCAGGGAAAUGAUCAUUUGUGGCUUUCCAACAUUUCAGAUUUGUACCUUCAAUUAGCAAAAACUUCAACUGUGGAAAUCUUCCUUCAAUUGGACGCCAUUCUAGGCCAUGACAAGCAUUUGGUUUCAGCUUCAACACCUCAAGGUUAGGCCAUUGCCCUAUGAUGUUCAACUCCUCCCAUGAUAGACAAGUUCCGACCAGUUUUAACUUCUUCAACUUUAUUGGAAAAUGUAAAACAGGCGAUUUAUGGAAUCUUGAACUCCCGUGACUUACCUGAUAACGAUCAACUUUAACACUCAAUGUUUCUAGCUGAUGCAGAUCAACAAGAUGACGGAGGUCCAUAACUUCUUCGUGCACUCCAUAGUCAUACACGUGCCCCCGAAUACAUAAUUUCUUAAUGUUUUGAAACCUUGAAAGGAUCUUCUUAGUGCAACAAUAAGGAAUCAAGCCCGAAACAGACUGUAUGUUUGGCCAAAACAAGUUCCUCUCUCCAUCAAUGGAUGAACUUGGAGGAUCUGGCAAAUAAAAAUUCCUGAGUUUCAGGUGCCUUAAUUGUGUUGUUUCCCAAAUUAGUUCCGGGAACUUAAUAAAUGAGAUAACUGGCCCUCGAACGAUGAAUGUUUGUAGAUUCAGUAAUCUGCAAAGUCCUCCAGGUAUGCCAAAAGAAUUACGAGUCGAAAAGGAUAGGUACCUCAACAAAAAGAGACUAAGUAUCUGCAGGGGAAAGCUUGAGAAGAACAUUGAACUCAAGUCCAAGACUCUGAUUAAAUUCAAAUGACCAAGCUCUAAAUUGGAAUUGU